CCUGGAGGAAAAAAAAAAAAAAAAGGAGAAAAAGAAAUUGAGCUUGGAAUGGAUUGCUAUACUUAGAACACAGAAAGAACUCAGAAUUUGCUUUUUAUUGAAAAAAAUUACUUGGAGCAAUGGCAUUUCAGAGCACAGCAGGAAACUCAUUGAAGACAUUGAAUACCAGUGAACAGUUCUACUGCUGGAGUUCUGCCAUUCCAACAGAGCAAAAUUCCAUGGAAACAAUCAAACAUGCAAAUUCUUCUUGUCACUUUCUUUCAUAUCUGUCUCCUAAGUAGUAUUCCCUCAGGGUGGUCAACAAUGCCAAAGGUGUUUUAACUGAACCUUCAAGUAGAUACAGAUUACUUUUACAGACGCAGAAAGAAUAGUUUUCCUGAACUACAUUUUAGCAUUUAGGCUUCUGCAGUUUCAAGAGCAACUUGAAAGGCACUUGCAGAUUCAGACUGGGGAGAGUUGUAAUUUCUUCAUUUGAAUAGAUUUUUUUUUCUUCCAUUUUUGCUGUUUCAGCACUCACCUUUGCUGGAAAAGUAGGAUUUUUUCUAGAGCCAUAGCAGUAACAGGAUUUUAAACAGAUUUGAAUAGGUUAUUUUGCACCCUAGAGGAGCUCAACUAUAUUAAAUAGUCCUCCAGGACUGACAAUAUCUAGCAGGAGCCUGCAAACCUCAAGGCUUGCCUAUCCCUACUUCCCUCCCCAAAAGAUAUGCACAAGCACAUAUAGAGAGACACAAAAAAUACACCAGAAGAAGAAAAACUCACCUUCUCCUCUCUCCAUACCUCUUCCUCCUGCCUUGGAGAUAUUAAACAUAUUCUGAUACUUGUUGCUAAUUAAGUUGAACAGUGACAGCAUCUAAGCAGUCUGAUUUCAGUGGGAUGCAGAUAAUUUCUUUUUAUAUUUGUUUCCUUUUAUCUCAAAAGGUUCUUGCCUCUCCUAUUUCACUACACUUUAAACUGUUUUUGUUUUUUUUCCUCAUCUCGUGUCCUUUUGUAAUAAAGUGAUGAGUGAUUUAAAUAGGCAUUCUUUCUCAAUCAAAAUAAAACACCUGUAACAUA